rnacentral:rRNA from 1 species
UGUCAAGUCGGAUGUGAAAUCCCCGGGCUCAACCUGGGAACUGCAUUCGAAACUGGCAGGCUAGAGUCUUGUAGAGGGGGGUAGAAUUCCAGGUGUAGCGGUGAAAUGCGUAGAGAUCUGGAGGAAUACCGGUGGCGAAGGCGGCCCCCUGGACAAAGACUGACGCUCAGGUGCGAAAGCGUGGGGAGCAAACAGGAUUAGAUACCCUGGUAGUCCACGCCGUAAACGAUGUCGAUUUGGAGGUUGUGCCCUUGAGGCGUGGCUUCCGGAGCUAACGCGUUAAAUCGACCGCCUGGGGAGUACGGCCGCAAGGUUAAAACUCAAAUGAAUUGACGGGGGCCCGCACAAGCGGUGGAGCAUGUGGUUUAAUUCGAUGCAACGCGAAGAACCUUACCUGGUCUUGACAUCCACAGAACUUUCCAGAGAUGGAUUGGUGCCUUCGGGAACUGUGAGACAGGUGCUGCAUGGCUGUCGUCAGCUCGUGUUGUGAAAUGUUGGGUUAAGUCCCGCAACGAGCGCAACCCUUAUCCUUUGUUGCCAGCGGU